GAUGAACGCUAGCUACAGGCUUAACACAUGCAAGUCGAGGGGCAGCAUGAACUUAGCUUGCUAAGUUUGAUGGCGACCGGCGCACGGGUGAGUAACACGUAUCCAACCUUCCGUUUACUCAGGGAUAGCCUUUUCGAAAGAAAAGAUUAAUACCUGAUAGUAUGGUGAGAUUGCAUGAUAACACCAUUAAAGAUUUAUUGGUAAACGAUGGGGAUGCGUUCCAUUAGGUAGUAGGCGGGGUAACGGCCCACCUAGCCGACGAUGGAUAGGGGGUUCUGAGAGGAAGGUCCCCCACAUUGGAACUGAGACACGGUCCAAACUCCUACGGGAGGCAGCAGUGAGGAAUAUUGGUCAAUGGGCGAGAGCCUGAACCAGCCAAGUAGCGUGAAGGAUGAAGGUCCUACGGAUUGUAAACUUCUUUUAUACGGGAAUAAAGUAUCCUACGUGUAGGAUUUUGUAUGUACCGUAUGAAUAAGCAUCGGCUAACUCCGUG
rnacentral:rRNA from 1 species